UAGUAAUGGGCGAAAGCCUGAACUAGCAACGCCGCGUGUGCGAAGAAGGCCUUCGGGUUGUAAAGCACUUUUUGAGAGGAUGAGGAAGGACGGUACUCUCAGAAUAAGUCUCGGCUAACUACGUGCCAGCAGCCGCGGUAACACGUAGGAGGCAAACGUUAUCCGGAUUUACUGGGCGUAAAGCGCGUGUAGGUGGUUUGGUAAGUAGGGCGUGAAAGCUCCUGGCUCAACUGGGAGAGGCCGUUCUAAACUGCCGAACUAGAGGAUGGUAGAGGGAGGUGGAAUUCCGGGUGUAGCGGUGGAAUGCGCAGAUAUCCGGAGGAACACCAGUGGCGAAAGCGGCCUCCUGGACCAUUCCUGACACUCAGACGCGAAAGCUAGGGUAGCAAACGG
rnacentral:rRNA from 1 species